GACCCAAUUUUGCCCUAAACCUUCUUCAAACCCCGUGGUCCCAGUUUGUUCUGGUGUCGUCCCGUCGUGCCUUUCCGAUCCGCAUGCAAUAAUAUCCGAAUCCUGAACUGCUGAAAAUUGGUCGCCUCAAGCAGGAAGAGGCAGAAAUUGAAUCGAUGAGGAAUCCAUCUCAUAAAUGGGCAUACAUUCGGAUCAUCACCGGAACAAUCGUCGGAGGGAUUCUCGGAUUCUACGUUAUGCAUCGCCUUGAAAAUAAUUAUAAGGAGAAAAUGAAUGAAAGACUGAGAAAUUAUGAAGCCGAAUUGCAGAGGAAGAAGCAAGAGAGACUGAAUGAGUUAAAAGAAGAAUCGUCUCAGCAAUCCGAUUGAGUGCUAAGCCUCUUGUUUAGCCCCUUCUUAGAAUUUUGUAUGAUUCUGCCUUCUUUGUCUUCUCGUUGCUACUUGGGUUUAGAGAUGUUGAGGAACUGGAAAGAGAUACUUAGUUUUCUGAAACGGAACACCUCUAGCCUCAUUCAUGCGAUGAACACGGAUACGUUCCUUUCUGCAUAACUUCAAUUAACAUUAGGAUUGGUUCUUUUUAUUAAGCUCUUCAAUUGUCUCUGUGACUUGUACUAUACAUUUGAUACAAGGGAUGAAUCUAUUCGAGACCAAAGCUU